UACGUAGGGGGCAAGCGUUGUCCGGAUUUAUUGGGCGUAAAGAGCGUGUAGGCGGUUUGGUAGGUCCGUUGUGAAAACUCGAGGCUCAACCUCGAGACGCCGAUGGAAACCAUCAGACUAGAGUCCGGAAGAGGAGAGUGGAAUUCCUGGUGUAGCGGUGAAAUGCGCAGAUAUCAGGAAGAACACCCGUGGCGAAGGCGGCUCGCUAGGACGGUACUGACGCUGAGACGCGAAAGCGUGGGGAGCGAACAGG
rnacentral:rRNA from 1 species